UGUGUAGGCGGUCUUCUAAGUUUGGUGUGAAAUCUCCCGGCUUAACCGGGAGGGUGCGCCGAAAACUGGGAGACUAGAGUGCGGGAGGGGAGAGUGGAAUUCCUGGUGUAGCGGUGAAAUGCGUAGAUAUCAGGAGGAACACCGGUGGUGUAGACGGCUCUCUGGACCGUAACUGACGCUGAGACACGAAAGCGUGGGUAGCAAACAGGAUUAGAUACCCUGGUAGUCCACGCCCUAAACGAUGCAUAUUUGGUGUAGGUCAUUCAGUUGAUCUGUGCCGGAGCUAACGCGUUAAAUAUGCCGCCUGGGGAGUACAGUCGCAAGGCUGAA
rnacentral:rRNA from 1 species